UACAGAGGUCUCAAGCGUUGUUCGGAUUCAUUGGGCGUAAAGGGUGCGUAGGCGGCGCGGUAAGUCGGGUGUGAAAUCUCGGAGCUUAACUCCGAAACUGCAUUCGAUACUGCCGUGCUUGAGGACUGGAGAGGAGACUGGAAUUUACGGUGUAGCGGUGAAAUGCGUAGAUAUCGUAAGGAAGACCAGUGGCGAAGGCGGGUCUCUGGACAGUUCCUGAGGCUGAGGCACGAAGGCCAGGGGAGCAAACGGG
rnacentral:rRNA from 1 species